AGAAGGUGAAGAUGGCGGUGGCCAGGGCCGGGGUCCUGGGAGUCCAGUGGCUGCAAAGGGCAUCCCGGAACGUGAUGCCGCUGGGCGCACGGACAGCCUCCCACAUGACCAAGGACAUGUUCCCGGGGCCCUAUCCUAGGACCCCAGAAGAACGGGCCGCCGCCCCCAAGAAGUAUAAUAUGCGUGUGGAAGACUACGAACCUUACCCGGAUGAUGGCAUGGGGUAUGGCGACUACCCGAAGCUCCCUGACCGCUCACAGCAUGAGAGAGAUCCAUGGUAUAGCUGGGACCAGCCGGGCCUGAGGUUGAACUGGGGUGAACCGAUGCACUGGCACCUAGACAUGUACAACAGGAACCGUGUGGAUACAUCCCCCACACCUCUUUCUUGGCAUGUCAUGUGUAUGCAGCUCUUCGGUUUCCUGGCUUUCAUGAUAUUCAUGUGCUGGGUGGGGGACGUGUACCCUGUCUACCAGCCUGUGGUGAGUAUCCGAGAAGUGCUCCCUUAGGCACGCUUGCUUAGCCCCAUUUCCUGAGGGAGUGAAGUCUCUGGGGUAGGAAUCCAGUCAAUACCAAGCUUGGCUUCCUGGAGUCUUAGGAGAUAGGAAGAUAGGAGGGCCUUGACCCAUUGGCCUGCCACAAGUACCACAGCACUUCUCCACCCCUACUUCUUGGACCAGUCUGGGUGAGUAGAUACACUUGAAGACUAGAUGAGCAAUGAGUGUGUGGAAACCAGCUAGUCACCAGAGUUGCCAUUUGGGGAUUAUAUUUAUUAACAAUAUUUCAUUAAGUGAUCUUUCACAGUACAGUUAAGGAAUCUUGAGUGAAAAUC
rnacentral:sRNA from 1 species